UACGUAGGGUGCAAGCGUUAAUCGGAAUUACUGGGCGUAAAGCGUGCGCAGGCGGUGAUGUAAGACAGUUGUGAAAUCCCCGGGCUCAACCUGGGAACUGCAUCUGUGACUGCAUCGCUGGAGUGCGGCAGAGGGGGAUGGAAUUCCGCGUGUAGCAGUGAAAUGCGUAGAUAUGCGGAGGAACACCGAUGGCGAAGGCAAUCCCCUGGGCCUGCACUGACGCUCAUGCACGAAAGCGUGGGGAGCAAACAGGA
rnacentral:rRNA from 1 species